AGCCAUGCAUUUAGCACAAAGCAAACUAUUCUUUUGCCUUUUACUAAAGAAUACCGUGUGCUCGCUGUUUUAAGUGACGGACGCCUAUUUUUUAAGAGUCCCUUAUGUAUAGGCUU